rnacentral:rRNA from 1 species
GACAGAGGGUGCAAACGUUGUUCGGAGUUACUGGGCGUAAAGGGUGUGUAGGCGGUUCCCUAAGUUUGGUGUGAAAUCUCCCGGCUCAACUGGGAGGGUGCGCCGAAAACUGGGGGGCUAGAGUACUGGAUGGGAGAGUGGAAUUCCUGGUGUAGCGGUGAAAUGCGUAGAUAUCAGGAGGAACACCUGUGGUGUAGACGGCUCUCUGGACAGUAACUGACGCUGAGACACGAAAGCGUGGGUAGCAAACAGG